rnacentral:rRNA from 1 species
GGGGAAUAUUGCACAAUGGGGGAAACCCUGAUGCAGCGACGCCGCGUGGAGGAAGAAGGUCUUCGGAUUGUAAACUCCUGUUGUUGAGGAAGAUAAUGACGGUACUCAACAAGGAAGUGACGGCUAACUACGUGCCAGCAGCCGCGGUAAAACGUAGGUCACAAGCGUUGUCCGGAAUUACUGGGUGUAAAGGGAGCGCAGGCGGGAAGACAAGUUGGAAGUGAAAUCCAUGGGCUCAACCCAUGAACUGCUUUCAAAACUGUUUUUCUUGAGUAGUGCAGAGGUAGGCGGAAUUCCCGGUGUAGCGGUGGAAUGCGUAGAUAUCGGGAGGAACACCAGUGGCGAAGGCGGCCUACUGGGCACCAACUGACGCUGAGGCUCGAAAGUGUGGGUAGCAAACAGGAUUAGAUACCCUGGUAGUCCACACUGUAAACGAUGAUUACUAGGUGUUGGAGGAUUGACCCCUUCAGUGCCGCAGUUAACACAAUAAGUAAUCCACCUGGGGAGUACGACCGCAAGGUUGAAACUCAAAGGAAUUGACGGGGGCCCGCACAAGCAGUGGAGUAUGUGGUUUAAUUCGACGCAACGCGAAGAACCUUACCAAGUCUUGACAUCCCUUGACGAUGCUGGAAACAGUAUUUCUCUUCGGAGCAAGGAGACAGGUGGUGCAUGGUUGUCGUCAGCUCGUGUCGUGAGAUGUUGGGUUAAGUCCCGCAACGAGCGCAACCCUUAUGGUCAGUUACUACGCAAGAGGACUCUGGCCAGACUGCCGUUGACAAAACGGAGGAAGGUGGGGAGGACGUCAAAUCAUCAUGCCCUUUAUGACUUGGGCUACACACGUACUACAAGGGCGUUAAACAAAGAGAAGCAAGACCGCGAGGGGGAGCAAAACUCAGAAACAACGUCCCAGUUCGGACUGCAGGCUGCAACUCGCCUGCAGGAAGUCGGAAUUGCUGGUAAUCGCAGAUCAGCAGGCUGCGGGGAAUAGGUUCCCG